AAAAAGAAAUAAUAUAAAGGUGAAGUAAAAAAAAAAAAAUUAAUGUAGGGUAAGGAUAGAAUAGGAAUAAAAAAUAACAAAAUUGAUUAAAAAGUACUAAAAAACAAAAGAGAGUGUAAAUGGAGAAAAGGGGAGUGGAGAAAUCAGCUCCCAUGUUUUAUUGAUGUAUUCAAUUGGGGUUUUUAUGUUUUAUUGGUGUAUGCCUG
rnacentral:lncRNA from 1 species